GCGCGAGCUGCAGGAGCGCAUGCAGAGCAGGGUGGGCCAGCGGGGCAGUGGGCUGUCCAUGUCGGCUGCCCGCAGCGAGCACGAGGUGUCAGAGAUCAUCGAUGGCCUCUCAGAGCAGGAGGUGAGUCCAGGCCCUGACUCUGGCCUCAGCUCCUUUUCCCUGGCAUCCCCCGUGAGGGUGCAGAGGCCCUAGCCAGAAACCACCUCCCAGUUGGUUUACGUCGAGGGGCUUUGCCACCGAAGCGUGGGUGGAAUCAAGGUGGGUAUUGAGGUACCCGUCCCAGGCCUGCAGGGGCGAGCAGAGAGAGGGGUGUUAAUGUGUCUGAGAGGGAGGGUAGC
rnacentral:sRNA from 1 species